AUGGGUGGGAAUGGGUGGGAAUGGUCUGGGAAUAGGCAGGAAUGCUCGGGAAUGGUGCAGGAAUGGGCAGGAAUGGUGCGGGAUGGUCUGGGAAUGGGUGGGAAUGAUGUGGGAAUGGUAGGGAAUGGCGUGGGAAUGGUGUGGGAAUGGUUGGGAAUGGUGUGGGAAUGGUGUGGGAAUGGUGUGGAAUGGGUGGGAAUGGUGUGGGAAUGGUUGGGAAUGGUUGGGAAUGGUGUGGGAAUGGUUGGGAAUGGUUGGGAAUGGUGUGGGAAUGGUUUGGAAUGGUGUGGAAUGGUUGGGAAUGGUGUGGGAAUGGUGUGGGAAUGGUUGGGAAUGGUCUGGGAAUGGUUGGCAAUGGGUGGGAAUGGUGUGGGAAUGGUCAGGAAUGGUUGGCAAUGGGCGGGAAUGAUGUGGGAAUGUUUGGGAAUGGUCAGGAAUGGUUGGGAAUGGUGUGGGAUGGUCAGGAAUGGUCUGGAGUGGUCUGGGAUGGGUUUGGGAUGGGUUGGGGAUGGUUGGGAAUGGUUUGGAAUGGUCCAGGAUGGUCUGGGAAUGGUCUGGAAUGGCCUGGGAUGGUCAGGAAUGAUCUGGGAAUGGUUUGGAAUGGUCGGGGAUGGUCGGGAAUGGUGCCUCAUCCCAGGAUCAACCCCCUGUCCUGCUGUUCCCCCUGGAGGAGCCAUGGCUGCUCACUCCGGGCUCUUCCAUCAUUCCCAGCUUUUCUUCAGGAAAGGGAACAACAGGAUUGCUUGGCCUUGUACCAUUCCCGGUUUUCCAUGGGAGGGGGAACAGGAUUUCCUGGUGUUCCACCAUUCCCAGUUUUCCUUGGGAAGGAGAGCAAGGCUUCCUGGUCUUUUUCCCUUGGGAAUGGGAGCAGGAUUCCCACCCUUUUACCAUUCGCAAACUUUCUCUGGAGAGGAGAACAAGGUUUCGUGUUCUACCAUUCCCAACUUCCCUUGGGAAAGGGAACAGGAUUCCCGCCCUUUUACCAUUCCCAAACUUUCCCUGGAGAGGAGAACAAAAUUUCAUGUUCUACCAUUCCCAACUUUCCUUGGGAAAGGGAACAGGAUUCCCGCCCUUUUACCAUUCCCAUCUUUCCUCAGGAAACCCUCCUGCUCCUCCCUCAUUCCCAUUCCCGCUCUCCUCCAGGCCCCAAUCCUGUCUGAUCCCGAUUCCUGGUGUUUUUUCCUGGCAGGAAUUUGGUUGUUGCCCUCCUGCCGUGCUGGGGAGGAGGCCGAGCUCCUGCUGCUGCUGCUCCUGCUCUUUUCCCUGGAGGAGAGGGCCCAGCAUUCCCGGGAAACCCAGCAUUCCCGGGAAACCCAGCAUAGCAGGAUCCGGAGCCCCGGCUCCCGGGAAAAGGAAUCCUGGGGGAACCGAGCCCGGCCCCGCGGGAUCCUCGCGGAACAAAGAAUGUCACGGCACUAUUCCCGACUUUUCCUGGAAGUUUUACGUUUGGAUGUCUCUGGAUUUUUGGAUUUUUUUUUUUUUUAA
rnacentral:lncRNA from 1 species